AACGAACGCUGGCGGCAGGCUUAACACAUGCAAGUCGAACGGUUGUAGCAAUACAGCAGUGGCAGACGGGUGAGUAACACGUGGGAACCUUCCUAGGGGUACGGAACAACUCAGGGAAACUUGAGCUAAUACCGUAUACGUCCGUGAGGAGAAAGAUUUAUCGCCCUUAGACGGGCCCGCGUCGAAUUAGCUAGUUGGCGGGGUAAAAGCCCACCAAGGCGACGACGGGUAGCAGGCGUGAGAGCGUGACCUGCCUCACUGGGACUGAGGCACUGCCCAGACACCUACGGGUGGCUGCAGUCAUGAAUAUUCCACAAUGGACGAAAGUCUGAUGGAGCGACGCCGCGUGCAGGAAGACGCCCUUCGGGGUGUAAACUGCUUUUAUAAGGGACGAAUUCGUGACGGUACCUUAUGAAUAAGUGGUUGCUAACUCUGUG
rnacentral:rRNA from 1 species